rnacentral:lncRNA from 1 species
CUGAAUGAGAGAAAAGUGCCCUAGAAGCUAUUCAUUACGAAUUCACUGGAAGCUCUCAAACGAGGCUGGCAGAAGCUGAAAUUGAAGUGGUCUCUGACCUAAUUUUCUUCUGCAUGAAACAUCUGCAUCAAGGCUCUCUUUGAUGUAUUCCACUUGGCUCUGUCUACGGGAUUGUAUCACAUGGACUCGGUGUUGCCUCCUUAUUGAAAGACAUUUCCAGCCUUUGCAAGAUGGCCGGUUUGACACAAAUUAGAACAACCUUGAUAGCUGUCAACUGGAGACUAUCUGAGAACAAAAGGACAUUAUUGCAAACCAGCACUGGAGCAACUCUGAAAGAAGAUAAAAGUACAUGAAGAAAUCAUUUGCAGGCACUGGACAAAAAAGAGUGCAAAACUAUAAUCUUGAGAGCAGGACACACACAGUGCAGCCAUCCAGCCCAGAACACAACAAGAAUAGAGUUGAU